rnacentral:rRNA from 1 species
ACGCUCGACACCUACGGGAGCAGCAGUGGGGAAUAUUGCACAAUGGGGGAAACCCUGAUGCAGCGACGCCGCGUGGAGGAAGAAGGUCUUCGGAUUGUAAACUCCUGUUGUUGGGGAAAAAGAGGAUGGUACCCAACAAGGAAGUGACGGCUAACUACGUGCCCGCAGCCGCCGGUAAGUACUGAGCGGGGCGUGGCGAAGGACG